rnacentral:rRNA from 1 species
AUUGAACGCUGGCGGCAGGCCUAACACAUGCAAGUCGAACGAGUGGCGGACGGGUGAGUAAUGUCUGGGAAACUGCCUGAUGGAGGGGGAUAACUAAUGGAAACGGUAGCUAAUACCGCAUACCAUCAGAUGUGCCCCGAUGGGAUUGGCUAGUUGGUGGGGUAACGGCUCACCAAAGCGACGCUCCCUAACUGGUCUGAGAGGAUGACCGGCCAAACGGGAACUGAGACAGGGGCCAGACACCUACGGGAGGAAGCAGUGGGGAAUAUUGCACAAUGGGCUCAAGCCUGAUGCAGCCAUGCCGCGUGAAUUAAGAAGGCCUUCGGGUUGUAAAGGACUUUCAGCGGGGAGGCGUUACCCGCAGAAGAAGAACCGGCUAACUGCGAGCCAGCAGCCGCGGUAAUAC